GGCGACGUGGUGCAGUGGUUAGCAUAGCUGACCGGUAAUCAGGAUUCCCGGAGUUGGAAUCCCGGCGCCACCA
rnacentral:tRNA from 1 species